UCCCAUGAGAAGAGUUUGGUUUCAUGAGAAACAGUCAAACUGUCUUCCAAAGUGGCAGCACCUUCUGCAUUUCCCACCAGCACUGAAUGAGCGUUCCUGUGGCUCCACAGCCUCACCAGCAUUUGGUGUUGUCAGUGUUCUGGACUUUGGCCUUUCUAAUAGGAUGAAGACAGUGAUGAAGAUGAUGAUGAUGAUGAUGAUAUAACAGUGAUGCUGUGACGCCGCUGCUGUGGCUGAUGACGGUGAUGUUAGCAACUGUAGCAGAUGCUGUCAAUGGCCCACCCUAUCUCCAUGGUCCACCCUGGAGCUUGGCUGCUGACGGCUUCCUGCACUUCUGAAGCCUCAGGGUUUCUCUGGCCACAGCGGCCAGCCUGGUCCUGCUGGGACAGAGAUCCAGGCGUGUGAAAUCAAGAAUGUGCAACUGGUGGUUUGCCUCAUGGUCAAAUAUGGCUGCUGAAACUCCGGACAUCAACUCUGUGUUCCAGGGAGGAAGAAAGGGACUGGGAGUGUAAGAAGAACUGCUGAUGACUCUCACUGUUCUUAUAUAGGCCAAGGUUGCCCUACUGUAAGCCCCCAUGACUCUGCCAGGAGAUUCACUCUCAGCUCAGGAACAGGAGCUGAAAACAGGAAGUACCCUCAAGCAGUCCUCAGAGAUAAACAAGAGCUGGCGGAUAAAUACCUCAGCUUCUUCGCCUCCUGGUGGGAUAAGUCUGAGAGGUGUGUUCUGCACCAUUUCCCCGAAGGUCCCAGCAGCACCGAGUCGUUGCCCACAGCAGUGACUGCCCAUCCGUGUGCUCUGCACCGUUCCUCCCUUUCUCCGACUCACCUCCCCAUGGCGCUACUCUGAAAAAAUCCAUUACGCUUGCAUCCUUGACUCAGAGUCAGCUUGUGAGGGAACCCAGUCAAUGACAGGGGACAGGGCAGAAGGGGCACCCCCGGCUGUCUGUCCACCUCUUAAGGAGCCCCUCCUCCCACAGCUCCAGUAAGCAUCCACGCUCAUUUCAUUGUGCUCGAGCUGCAAGGGCAGCAGGGACCCGUAGGCCAUUAGCUGGGAUCUGUUGCUCAGGAAGGAGGUGGGGAGCGUGGCCAUGGGGCGGCAGCCGGCACUCUCUGCCGCCGUGAAAGAAGGAAGAAUUAUGGAAAGUUUCCGCCUUCCUCUGGGACCAGAUCUGACAAGGACCCGUCAAGUCUCUUGGACACUUCCUGAGAAAUGAAUUCAUUUAUUUCAUUCCACCAAUGUUGGCUGAAACCUACUGAGUGCUCGGCUCUGGAAUGCCAUCGAGAAGAAGACACGGUUCUCACUGGUGUGAGGUGAUACCUCCACUUAGAAUGGGCAUCGUCAGAAAAUCUACAAACAACAAAUACCGGAGAGGGUGUGGAGAAAAGGGAACCCUCCUGCACUGUUGGUGGGAAUGUAAAUUGAUACAGCCACUAUGGAGAACAGUAUGGAGGUUCCUUAAAAAACUAAAAAUAGAACUACCAUAUGACCCAGCAAUCCCACUACUGGGCAUAUACCCAGAGAAAACCAUAAUUCAAAAGACACAUGCAGCCCAAUAUUCAUUGCAGCACUAUUUACAAUAGCCAGGACAUGGAAGCAACCUAAAUGCCCAACGACAGACGAAUGGAUAAAGAAGAUGUGGUAUAUUGGAAUAUUACUCAGCCAUAAGAAGGAAGGAAAUUGGGUCAUUUGUAGAGACGUGGAUGGACCUAGAGACUGUCAUACAGAGUGAAGUAGGUCAGAAAGAGAAAAACAAAUAUCGUAUAUUAACGCAUAUAUGUGGAACCUAGAAAAAUGGUACAGAUGAACUGGUUUGCAGGGCAGAAAUAGAGACACCGAUGUAGAGAACAAAUGUAUGGACACCAAAGGGGGAAGGAGGCGGAAGUGGGGUGGUGUGAUGAAUGGGGAGGUUGGGAUUGACAUGUACACAUUAAUAUGUGUAAAAUGGAUAACUAAUAAGAACCUGCUG